rnacentral:rRNA from 1 species
CAUGUGGUUCAAUUCGACGCAACGCGAAGAACCUUACCAGGCUUGAACUGCAGUUGACCGACCAUGAAAGUGGUUUUUCCGCAAGGACGACUGUAGAGGUGCUGCAUGGCUGUCGUCAGCUCGUGUCGUGAGAUGUUGGGUUAAGUCCCGCAACGAGCGCAACCCUCGUCCUCUGUUGCCAUCAGGUCAAGCUGGGCACUCUGGGGAGACUGCCGGUGACAAACCGGAGGAAGGUGGGGAUGACGUCAAGUCAGCAUGGCCUUUAUGUCUGGGGCUACACACGUGCUACAAUGGCCGGUACAAACCGUUGCGAUCCCGCGAGGGGGAGCUAAUCGGAGAAAGCCGGUCUCAGUUCGGAUCGCAGGCUGCAACUCGCCUGCGUGAAGUUGGAAUCGCUAGUAAUCGCGGAUCAGCACGCCGCGGUGAAUACGUUCCCGGGCCUU